rnacentral:rRNA from 1 species
UACAGGGGGAUAACACUUAGAAAUAGGUGCUAAUACCGCAUAAGCGCACGGUUCCGCAUGGAACAGUGUGAAAAACUCCGGUGGUAUACGAUGGAUCCGCGUCUGAUUAGCCAGUUGGCGGGGUAACGGCCCACCAAAGCGACGAUCAGUAGCCGGCCUGAGAGGGUGAACGGCCACAUUGGGACUGAGACACGGCCCAAACUCCUACGGGAGGCAGCAGUGGGGAAUAUUGCACAAUGGGGGAAACCCUGAUGCAGCGACGCCGCGUGAGUGAAGAAGUAUCUCGGUACGUAAAGCUCUAUCAGCAGGGAAGAAAAUGACGGUACCUGACUAAGAAGCCCCGGCUAACUACGUGCCAGCAGCCGCGGUAAUACGUAGGGGGCAAGCGUUAUCCGGAUUUACUGGGUGUAAAGGGAGCGUAGACGGCAGCGCAAGUCUGGAGUGAAAUGCCGGGGCCCAACCCCGGAACUGCUUUGGAAACUGUGCAACUCGAGUGCAGGAGAGGUAAGCGGAAUUCCUAGUGUAGCGGUGAAAUGCGUAGAUAUUAGGAGGAACACCAGUGGCGAAGGCGGCUUACUGGACUGUAACUGACGUUGAGGCUCGAAAGCGUGGGGAGCAAACAGGAUUAGAUACCCUGGUAGUCCACGCCGUAAACGAUGAUUACUAGGUGUCGGGGGGCCAAGGCCCUCCGGUGCCGCCG